GAUAUCACUUUAUUCUGUUUUUGCCACUUCAUCCUAAAUAGCUACCAGUGAUUUUCUUAAAGCAACAGUAACUCAAAACAGCUAUUUGAACUUCUUGGAAGAUGUUGAUAGUUGAACGUAUGCUAGCCUACCGUGCAAGUAGAUUGUUGUGGAAGGCAAUGCAAUGGAUUUGCUUAAAUUACGGACUGGUACAAAUACGAGAACUGCUCCAGAAGUAAUGCCUCCUAUUUUAUUACGAUGGCCUGUGAUGUCAGAGGCUGAUGUUGGUGAUACGUCAGUAGAGAUUGAAGCUUCCCACCAAUAUUCCAUUGCAUUUUGUUGCUGUGCUACAGAUAGCAGCAGAGGGGCAGUCUGGGACAAUGGCAUCUGACAUGAAAGUACAUAGGGAGUAAAGGUAUGUCAUUGAAUUUCUCCAUGUGGGAAAAAUGUCACUCACUGAUACUUGCUCAAUGUUUGUGGAGACCAAACAGUGGAUGCUAGCACAGUGAGGGGGUGGGUGGUGCAUUUCUGCAGUGAUGACGAAGACAUGAAAGACAAGCCACGUUCUGGAUGGCCAUGCACAGCUGUCACACCACAAAAUGAAAAGCAUUUUGAUCAGUUCAUCUGUGUGAACUGGUGGGUUAUUACCAUGGAUCUGUGUAUGGUGCUGAGUUCAAUACAUUGAAAACAAUGGUAGUAAUGUUGGAAUAUUGCAGUUUGCACCACGUGAGCCGCACAAAUGCUCACACAAGAACAGAAAGAACAUCAUGCACAAGUUUGUCAGGAUUUAUUGAACAAAUACAAGACUGAAGGUGACAGUUUAAUGGAUCGUAUCAUUACUGAUGAUGACAUGUGAUAUCACCACUAUGAGCUAGAGUCAAAAUGGCAGUCCAUGGAGUGAUGACAUGUGAAAUCCCCAUCAAAGAAAAAGAUCAAGAUGCAGCCCUCAGCGGGUAAACUGAUGCACACUGUCUUUUGAGAUAGGAAAGGGAAUGAUCCUUUUGGGUUUCCUGGAACCUGAAAAAGCCGUUAACUCUGACUUCUACAUCAUGACACUGAAUAAGCUGAAAGCUCAAGCUUCCAGAGUCAGGUCAGAGAAGAAGGCAAUCUUCCUCUUGCAACAAGGUAAUUCCUGGCUCCAUACCAGUUUGAAGACUGUGAAGUACAUGGACAGUCUUGGCCAGGCAGUCCUACCACACCCACCAUGUAGCCUGGAUUUGGCACCUUCUGACUCCCAUCAGUGGAUGGAAGAUGGACUGCAUGGGCAACAUUUUCCCAGCAACAGUGCCCUCAUAGCAGCUGUGAAAUUAGGGGUCACCUUCACAGGUGUAGAUUUUUAAAAGUGCAACAUUCAGGCUCUUGUUCACUGCUGGCAAAAAUUGCAUAGCUAACGGUGGUAACUGUGUUGAAAAGCAGUGUUUUGUAGCUGUGAAUUUGCUCUAUCAAAUAGUAUUAUUGUGCCCUAUAUCUGCUGUAGUUUCCACGUAAACAAAUAGAGGCAUUAUUUUUGGAGUGACUUACAUCUUUAUCCCGUGACAGAGGAUAGGUAUGUCUUUGUGACCUAUUCGUUUUCAGACAAAAAUGUGCACAACUAAACACUGUAGUGUAGAGUUUAGAAAUUCUGUGGAAUGUAUACAACCAGGAUGUAGCUAAAAAAUGGUGAAAUCUGCUUGGCUUUUUACACUGUUGGGUUUGUCUUUCUUCCUGGGGAGAAGCAAACUAAUCACGUACUCUUCACUUUUCAGCUACUGAAAUACUUAGGUGAACGCACUGAUGAUUUAUGAGUGCGCAGAAAAGUCAGAAUCUUUCAGUGUUUUGCUUUUCUAUGACUGAAUUUUAUAAAUUAGAUGAAUUAUCUGCUCUUGGCACUGGAUGGUGUUCCAGGGUUCCCUAGUUAGUGAGUAGCACUAUGAAAUGCAGCGUAAGUGCCUCUGCUAUUGUGAAGGAAGACAGACUUUUUUGUGAAGUCUAUAUAUCCACAUCAGAUUACUGCAUUCUUUCGGAAGCAAAAGAGGAGAGUGGGAAAUUAUUAAUUUUGGCUGGAGAGUACUUCAAUUUUUUUUUUCAAUAUACACAAAGAUAAAUGUUCUGUAUUCUUUUGACCCUAUGCUGAAAAUCAGUUCUCUUGUUAAUUUUUAAAUGUGCAUGGCUUUAGUCAUUGUCUGGCACUGCCUGAAGACUUUAAUUCUUCUAAGGAGCAUAGUUGGAAUCCUUUUUAAUUAACUUAGGUUCAGAUCAUGGGCUAGAAGUAGCAUUGGAGAUGACUGAUACCCCAUCCCUGCGGAUUUGUUUUCUUGCCAUUUUCUUAUGAGCAAUUACAGCAGGCAAGAGUAUGUUUUGUGAUUCUGAGAUCUUAAUAUCUCCUGCUUACUUAGCUCCUUGUUUAACUUGGGUUACCUGAUCUUGUACUUCUUUUUAUUUAAGUUUCUGGCUCCUGGCACUAUCUUCAGGUCAAUAAAUCUAGUGAGGCAGGCUGUUGGACCUGAAAGUAUUAGUUUAUAUCAGAGACUCGAAACAGCAAUCUCACAUUAACUGCACAUCCUCUAAAUGAUGUUCUUUAUAAGAAUUUGAAGGUUACUGAAUGAUUGGUUCAUUUAGGUGUCUCAGUCCCAAUUAUUGGUUUCUUUGACACAACGGUAUGCUGCCUGUGUUGUAAGCAUCCUCCUGACGUGCAAAAAUUACAUAGAAAAAAAAUGUACGGUGAGUGAAUCAAUGGCAGCAAAUAGAAUAUUGCUGUGAAAGUGGUGCCAAAGCUUGUAAAAUAGUUAAGUUCAUGAACAGAGAUGAUGCUGUGUUUGGCUACAGUGCUGAAGGAUGGGAGAUCUGAUUGAACUCUCUUUGCUCUGGUAUUGACACUGAAGACAGUCAGCUUAACCUGCUGACAGUAGAAUAGCCACACUCCCUCCAAUAUGAACUGGUAAAGGGCGCUUUGAAGAGCUCUAGCAAAGAAUGUUGUCAUCAGAGAAAACUUCAAUGAAGAUUUCUUCCCUGCUUAUUUCUUAUCUCUUCUCUAGCUGAAGAGAGUGUGUGCUGGAAGUCAUUUUAAAGGCAAGUCUCUCAUUUUCAGACAACUCAGUUGCUAUUUCUGUAUUGCUACCUAGGGUACAAUGUAAAAAUAUUGACGGUAAUGUAAGAGAUUGCUGGCUUGCUACAGCAGUCAGGAGGAUUCCACAAAUUUCUAUCAUCCCAGUGGUAUACUGGAGAUAACUUCUAUAAGUUCAGUAAUGCAUCUGUGAUUAUUCAUCUCCUUGCCUCUCAAUUAACCAGUACUGUACAUAUUGUUCCCUGUCAAAUAUCUUAUUUUGUCAGGUGCCAGAGAGCAGAGUUGUUCUCUUUUCAAAUUGCUGGUUUGAUUUCUGGCAGUACUUGAUUGCUUUAAAAUGUGCUUUCUACAUCCAUUUUCCUCAAUACUUAAUUAACUGCAGAAAAAGACUGAAAUGAGGUUUCAUUUAAGUAAAUGUUUCAUUUUUGUUGCCUCUAACCCAUUCAUUUUUUUCCUUUAGCUCACUAAAGUAGUCUCAGAGAUCUUAUCUUUCAUUUGCAAGAAAUUUUGCACUCAGGUUUAACUCUCUUUAGCUAAAUCCCCCUGAAGAAUGCAUCCAGUGUUAUGACAAAGCACAGAAGCAAGGCCACAGCAGAAGUGAUGAAAAGCCAACUAAAAUCAAGCCAUCUCAUUUUGUUCUGUGGAAGGCGACUGGGGGAAUUCAUGAUGGAAAAGGGACUCUUAAGAGCUGUCAUGUAGAAGGAAAAAAGGACGGGUGGAAUUAGAAGCUCAGCAGAUUCUGACUUUUAGCUCUGGCAUAAGGAAAUAUGGAGCAGUUCCCAUGCUUGUGGAUCCAAUACAUCUCUGCACAGAUGCUUUUUUGAUGUUUGCAGUCUUCAAUAUCCAAGGGAUUUGUUUUUCUUUUGAGAGGUUUAUGGUCCUGAUAUAGACUUGAAGAAAUACUCAAAAAUAGUGAAAAGAAAAACUUUAGCCCCUGUCCUCCAUGACUUUAAAUCAAUACUUGCUGUGAUUUCUGAAAUAAUCUAAAAUUUAUUAAAACCUAUCCAGAAGACCACUCUUUGUCGAUGUUAAAAGGCAAUUUUCUAUUUGUAUUCUGACUUUUCAAGUGAACUGCUAAAGUGAACCUCUGACAAAAUGGAAGUAUCAGUACAGUGUCCAAGGCUAUGGAAGGCUGAAGACCAUCAGAGCUUCCUGUCAGAUCUGUGCAGUGCAGAGUCAGCAGAUUUGAUCCAAUGUAUUCGCUUUGUAAAUGUCCCUUUUUUUCUUUUCCACUCUAGAUCUAAUCUUGAAGCUUGCUGACCUAUAACUAAAGCAUGACCUGGAGAACAGAUUGUGCUUGAUUUCAGUGACUAAUCAAAGUUGUCAGCUAUACAGAUGUGAAGGUAUGCACGUGUCCUGUGGCUGUGAGAUGGACCAAGUUUAGUGAUGGUCAUCUGUUUACAUUUUCUACACAUUUUUUCCAGUUGUCUCCAUAUGUGAAAAUCCUGAUUUAUGUAGACAAGUAUCUUUGUUCUUGAAGAGAUGAGUAUUUGCCACUGCACACACACAAAUGAAAUAGGAAGAAGAGCAACAUGUCAGUAUACCUUAUAUGCUGCCAGAGCAGGCAGUGAAUGAAUAUGUCCAGUUAAAACUUCAGAAGAAGCUUAAGAAGUUGAAAUGAAACCUUAGAAAUGUGAGAAUAAAUACUAACCAUGUUACAAUGGCAAAGUACAAAAUGCCUACUUUAGGUUCUAUGCAGAAGAGGAUCUGCUUUAUAAGACAUUUCCCCUUCUGCCUGUCAUGGGGUCAGUACUGGUUUGGAGGGAAGAUUCUACAUACGAGAUCAACAACAUUAUUUGUUGUGAGAAGAAUAAGCUUGAUUCCUGUGCUCAACUCAGAGCAGUCAUUUUUAUUUUUACUGGUUUACAUUUGAAACUUUCCCACGUGCAGCAUCCAAUUAUGGUAUAUUACAAAAACCUGUGUUUAAAUGGUAACAGUGCACAGUGCUUGAAAGUGACUGUUGUUAAAUUGCUUGUUCACUUUGAUGAUUAAGCCAGCAAUUAUCGCAUUAGCAUCCUAAGCCACACUUGUCUGCUGAUACAUCUCCUUCUAAGGCAAUCCCAUAAGACAUGAUAGGCUAAGUAGGGAGGGUCUAGCACUUGGAGAAGGGAAGAGCAAAGAACGUGUAAGAGAUAAGGCUAGGAAUUAAGAAGAGGUUGCUUUCUUCUGUUCUUCUGUGUCUGCUUCAGUGUGAUUCAGGAUAGUGCUGGGACCUGGUACAUCAAAAGAGAUGGGUUUUUUUUGUUUGUUUGUUUGUUUGUUUUCUUUCAUAAGGAGUUGAAGAAUAGACCUUUCACUACUGGCAGUCAAAGGUCCCAUGGAACCUCCUGCCAGGUCUUGUCACUGAUCUGAUGAGGAGCUACGCGAUAUGGUUUAGUGGCUUGUGGUAGCGAGGGUAAUGGGAGGACGGUUGGACUAGAUGAUCUUAUAAGUCUUUUCCAACCUUGAGAUUCUAUGAUUCUGUGAUUCUUACUUGCUCAGUAAUCAAAGCAAAUCAUUUUAUUUGGUCAAAGAAGGAUGAACCUUCACCUUCUGUGCUGCUGCAGCCUUGAGCUGCUUGUACCUUACCAUUACUGUCUUAAAAUGCCUGGUAAAAUGCUACUGAAUGCCAUGUAACUGUCUUCCACCUCCAUUGCUCCUGAGGUAUAUCUGGUAUCUUCACACUAUGCUUCUGGACUGAACACUUUAUUGUCCUCCCAAAAUCAAAGUAUCAGGUAUUACUUCUUUGUGAAGGUUUGGGUUUAUAUGGUAAAAUUUCAGGAGAUAACUGGAAUAAUUGUUACUUGGGACAGCUUGCUUUCUGGAAGACAGAACAGCAUCAGGCCCCUCUCUGUAGGUGCUGUGUUAGUUUCUCAUCAGUUUCCCGAAACUGUGCACUUCCAGACCUGUUUCAGUGUCUAUUUCAACCUCAGAAAUGACAUUUUUUUUCUCCUCUCCUGGAGAGGAGAGAACUGGUCUUUUACUUUUACAUCCCAGUAAGAACCAGUAUUAUUUUCUUCUUAAGAAAAUAUUUUUCAUGGAAUUGAUGGCUUCUUGAAUUGUAUCAGUAUGGAUCAGAUUUUGAGACCACUCUACUGCAGUUGAAAUGUCAUCCUAGUGCUUAUGCAAAUAUAUAACAGCAUGAUGUUGGGUUUUGAGCAAGUAUCUAUAUAUAGUCUCCCAGAGAAAAAUGUCUUUCCUAUGUGGAGUCCACUGAAUUAGUACAGAAGAUGGGGGAAUCCUUCUGUAAAAAUGUGCUACAACAACUCUCCAUUUCUUAAUAAGGGUUGUAGAAGACAAUCUAGUUCUAAAAUGUACAGGAAUAUGUGUGAACCUCAGUAGGUGAAAACACCCAAGCUGAUCACAAAAUGCAGUCUUCAGGAAUGGUGAAACAUCAUGAACCACAGAAAUUAACCUUGUCUAGGAGGAGUGGUACAUGAUUUCACCUGGGCAUGAUUUGAAACUGCAGGUUCUGAGGCAAAGAAAAUUGCUCUUCAGACAUACCUUGAUGAAACAGGUUGAAAACUGUCUUAGGUUGGAGUCCAGAGAAAAAACUGCCCUCUGCCCCCACUUUACAUGAAUAACUGUAGCACGUAGGUAAUUAGAGAAGGACAGCAGGAGGAGGGUGCUAAGGAGUUAUUAAGAAGGCUUUUGUCUUUGAGGCGCUGUCCUUACCUCCCUGUAUGUAUUCCCUGCAGUCUUUUCUUCACUCUCUACCUCCUUACUGCAGUUACUUUCUGUCUUUCCUAACAGCAUUAGGCCAUCGAUUUUCUUUUUCUUUCCCUCAGUCCCCAGAUUACAUCCUAUUCAAGUGUGUAACCUUUUUCCUGAAAGACAGAUGAAGCUACUACUCCCUUUUUUCUGGAGUAGAGGCUAUGGGUGCAACAGCCGUGAGUUUCCUGUAUGAGGUGGGGAUUACUUGGUUGAUGCAUGGCCAAGCACAAGCAAACUGAAGAGGCAUUGAGUCAGGCAGUGCAGUCAAGUGGGUUUAAGUGUCAUCGUGAUGUGCAAACUAGCAGCAGUCCAGAGUGGAGUUCUUUUAGGGAACAGUCUCUGAUGCUAUGCUAGGGUAAGUGCCAGAAGGAACUUGCAGAGGGGUGCUGGUUUUAGGUAGAAAUUACACAGAAGAGCAGAGCCCAGGGAAACAAGAACCCAAAUAGGAAGUUGGCAAACAUCCAGCAUGGGUCAAAUAAACACUGCAAAGUCCUUGACAGAUGUUUCCAUCUUCCUAUUUUGUCUACCUGGUCCAGAAAACAGCAAUAGUGAAUAGAAAGAAUUCAGUUUCAAGACAACAAAAUAAAAGAGAUAAAAAAAUAUUCUUGUAGGAUAAAGGGUCCACUCUGGAACUCCCUUCCAUCCACUGGUCAAUCUUCUUUUAAAAGUCUCGAAACAAUUCAGCUUCCAUUAUUUCUCCUGUGGGAACCGUGCCCAUUCUAACCAAUCUCACUGCCUGCAAGCUUCUCCGGGUGUAGGUUAUGCUUAAGCUUCUCAUUUAACCAUCCCAAAGAACCUUUCUUCUUCCUGCUCACUCUACAUCCUUCUAACAUGUAGAAGCAGUUUGGGUCUUAUUUCCUUUCAUCAUUGCAUGACUAAACACACUACUAUGUGGUUAAAAAAAAAAAAAAAGCCCUUAAUUCUGUUCUCUGCCACUUAGUUUUAUUCUUCCUUUCUGAUAUUUUUUCAAACUCUUGUUUUUGCAGGAGAAAACACAGGAUAUCACACUUUGUGAUAGGAUGUAGUUAAAAUCCACUGCUGCAUGUGAACUCAUUCUUCUGGAAGGAAUCGAGUUCCUUCAAUCUCCUAUUAAACUAUUCUCAGCUCUACCUGUAAGGCAAUCAGUCUUGCAGGUGUUGACCUUAAAAAUAAGCUCAGCAUCCUUUUGUCAGAUGGAAAUUAUGAAUCUUCUCAAAAUGAGGUGCUGUUACUGAUUUUUUUUUUCCACAAAGCUCACUUAAAAUUACCUAAAUUUCAGUUCAGAUUUUUUCUCACUUUUGCUAUCUACUGACUGUCAGCCAGAUCAGCAUCUAAACAGAUACCAAAACACUGCUUAUCAACUAAUCACAUCACUGUGAAAGACAAAAUAACCUUUCAUGUUCUAAUUAUUUUAUAAUGCCUUUGAUUAUUAUUUAUUCGGUGUGCAAAACAUAGUGUAACUCCCCCGUGCCUACUGUUGGAGAAAGUGCAAUGCUAAAAGUCAGCUCUGCAAAUUUACAAAAACAAAUAAGCAAAGGUAGCCCAUUUAAAUGCUACACUACUGACAGUUACUUAAAAUGCUCCCACUUGAAUCUGCUGCAUCAGUGUGAGUUUUAGAAGGCAAAGUCCAUACCCCUGACUAUGAGCUCUUCUUGAAUAUAAGAACAAUUUAAAUGCCUUCUUAAAGUCAGAACCAGGGCAAUGAGUCACUGGAACAGAUUGCCCAAAAGAGUUGUGGAUGCGCUGGAGUUAUUCAAGUUCAGGCUGGAUAGAGCCCUGGGCAGCCUGAUCUGGUGGAAGGCAGCUCUCCCCACAUCAGGGCAUUGGAACUGGAUGGUCUUUAAGGUCCAUUCCAGCCAAAACUGUCCUGUGAUUUUAUAAUUCUAUGAAGAACUCAAGCACAAAAAUCCCUCUCAAGGCUGGAAUUAGCAGUCUCACUCCCCGCAUAGGGAGAAGCGUGGGAUGAGUGCUUUUUAAAUGAGUGCUGCAACUUCAAUGUAUAGUGUCUCCUUCUUAUUACCUUGUGCUGAGAAACAAAUUCAAAAAGUGGAGAGCAAAACACUUUUGUUCACAAGGUGUGGUGUUGGACUGGGGCCUCCCCAGUCUGGGGUAGGCAUUGAAAUCUGUCUCCCCUAUUUCAUGGGGAAUGCUUCAACCACUCUAGUAUGAUAGCCAAGACCCCAGUAAUGUCAUCAUCUUUGUGAAUGACUCUAAAAGGAACACAGUGUAUUUUCAGACUUUUCAAAGAGCAGUUUUAAGUAUAUUCUCAGUUGAGGGCUCUAAGUUCUAGGUUAAAACAGGUAGAGGUUAUUUUGUUCAUCCUAAAUAAGAUGCCAGAUUUGCUGCAGAGAGAGAGGACUGUGAAAGCAUGUGUGUGCCUGCCAUUUUGUGUUGUCUCUCCACAGAUCAUUCUCAGCAUGUGAGAUUUUCAGAUAAGCACUUUGAGGUGUUUAAUUCUUAGCAGGAAGCGCAUAGGGAGCCUUCAUGUUGAACUCUGGAGUUUUAUUCUGCUCUGAAGACCAAAAUCCUAAAAGGAAACUAUUAAAAAAGAAGGUUUUCUUACUGGGUUUAGUCACAACCUACAAGUCUCUUCUGCUGUUCUGUUACAGAAAGUUGCAGUUGCAGCAAAAAAAGUGCUGCAAGAAACAUUCUUCAUAAACAGGUUUUAUAUAAUUACAGCCAUUCUGCACACUAAGUAUAUUAUCUACCUUUUAGAAACCUUGUUAGAAUAAUGCACAAGCUCUUAUAGAAAAAUCUCUUUACCAGUCCUCCGUGGAAAGCACCCUUCCUGCUGAUUUUGUAGAAUUAGUUUCUCCUUGCCUGGUAUUUAAAUUGUGUAGCAGUCAAUUUGCCAUACAGUGUUCCUCAGCACUGAUAUACAGCAUUUCCACUGGCGAUGACAGUGUAUUUAUUAAUAGAUGUUUUUUGCUUACUUCAUCAAGGUUAUGCCUCUUACUUUUAAUAUGCAUUUGAAAUACAUCUUCUAACAUCCUUAAAAAAUAAUAAAAAAUAACAUUAAUGCAAAAAAAAAAAAAGAAAAAGAAAAAGAAAAAAAGCCCAACCUGAUCAAAGGUCUUAUGCUUUCAAAUGAAAAAUACCACUCAGCCUGCCUUUCAGAUCAUUUAGAAUAUAUCCCAAGUUUUCAGUAUUGCUCUACCUCCUUCCCCCUUCUGUAUCCUAGCUGUAAAUGGAUUUAAAAAAUAAAGUCUUAAACCUUUGUAAGGUUGUUUCAAGUACAUGCAGUUUGCCAAGAACUCUGACAGGAACAGUCUUUCAUGUAUAUAGCUCCAAUUCCUUCUUCUGCAUUUAAUGAAGACUAUUGGUGCUCUCUACGGCAAUGUAGUACUUCCCUUCUGUAUUUUGUUUGGGUCUGCAUCUCUCCAUGGCUACUGUGAAGCACUGUCCCAUCACGUUAACUGGGUGAGACGUAAGCAGCUUUCUAGAUUCAGUUAUAGUUGCAGUCCCUUUAUCCAGGAUACUGCAUUACUAGAAGGUAAGUUCUGAAUUGCCUUUAGCCAACAUACUUCAGACCAUUUGCACAGUCUCCUUCUCAGGCCUCCUUUUAAAUAACUAUUAAGGGAAACACCAGGGGUUGAACUUUCAUGGUUACGGUUUUGUUGUAGGUGGACUAGGGCAAGAGAGAUGCCUUCAAAAAACACUCCAAAUAUUUUUCUUGAUGGUCUGACCAGCUGCAAGCAAGAGGUGUGCUCACUGUGACAUGUGAGCACCUGAAAAAUUAAAGCUAACUGCCUGGCAGAUUAGGUCUUCAAGUUCUGCACUUGUAAUUUAGUUGAACCCAACCCAGUGUUUGGAUUUUCACACAGUCAUAAUACAUAUACAUAUAUACUUGCACUGAACCAGAGGUGUUAGAAGGGCUGUUUUGGUUGUGUACUACUUAUUUGAAUUGCAAGAGCAUUAAUCAUUUUAUCUGGAGAGAAACCUGCCUAAAUAAAUGGAGAUUUUAAAGUAUGUGCCUAUCGUAUUCAACAUGCAUCAGGUUUGCUAAGGCUGACAGUCGUUUCUUUUCUAGUCUGUCACAAAGAUCUAUUUAGAAAUUCAGCUCUGGAAUUAAAAUGAAAGGCCACUACUGAUUGCUCGCUUUUAUUCUGCAGAUAAAUUAAGUUCUGUUAUUAGAGAUGACCUAUGAAAAUAACACAUGAUCAUUCAUAUAUUUUUAGUAACCUUUAUUUUCAAGGGAAGAGAGCACAGCAUCUAAAAACCUCUACGUGAACUCAAGUGUUUGGUCCUUUCACCCUACAAGCCUAAGCACAGACACCCUUGAGCCCUGCAACACUGAGCUGGGCUUAGCAUGGAGCACGCAUCCAACCCCUUGCUGCUGUCACAGCGUUUAGGUACAAGUCUAGGUUCUUUCGUUUGGGUUUUACUAUUGAGAAAACAUUUUCUGAAGGAUACCAAUCUUCCUGUUAAUUUGGAGGCUGACACACAGCAGCUUAAAUCUUUAUUUUAUUUUAAUGUUAUCUUCUUUUUAACACUGUGUAUGGGCAGGCGGGAAGCUCAGCAACCUCUUCAAUGUUUGUUAGGACUGUGAUGUCCAAAGUUUCUACUGUUUCUCACAGUGUAAUCAGAAAAUUCAAACGGAAACCUGCAUUUCUAAUUCAGGCAUCAAAGGUAGUCUGAAUACUGCUACACUUAAAAGGAAAAAAGAAAGCUCUUACCUCUAACUGCUUGCUCAGAAAACAAAUAAAACGUCCAUAUGAAUGGCUGCUUAAAACAAUUUAAAAAGAGC
ensembl:lncRNA